AGUAUUUUAUCAAGAAGAGUGGUGAAUAAGCUAGUAUUAUUAUAGUUAUUGUAAAUUCAGAAAUUUACUUUAAUUUGAGACCAUUUUGGAUGGAUAUUUCUGGAAGAGUAAUCGAGUAAUGAGUAAAAACUUGGCCUAAUGAAAUAUAUUAGUGCAAAUCAAAGAGAGACUUUCUGCUUCCCAACACAAUAUUGUACUGCUUUUUCAAGUAGCGUUGUAAAU
rnacentral:misc_RNA from 1 species